CGCACAAGGAACACAACUAGAAUGCAAAUGGAGAGUUUAUUAGGGAGUUUUGCACACUGGGGAAAAGGGGGGAAUUCACCAACCAUUUCACAGUCCACAAGCAGUUCUCGUUGUCUGUUCCGUUCCCCAGGGGUAAUCCUAAAACUUGGGUCCUCAGCCAAACUGGUUUGGUUCACAGUGGGCGUAAUCAGACAGUCCAGGUCACAACGGGUAAUCACACAGCUAUUUCUUUCUCUUCUCACGCUCUUCAUACCACACACUUCCCUCUUCAUUCUCUGCCCCUUUGUGCAUGUUGCUUCCUCUUUCAUCCCCAAGCACUCCCUGGCUUAAUGGUCCCAGGCUCGCCUCGUUGGGGAAGGAAAUCCAUAUAAGGAUCGGGGGUGGAGCCAGGUCUCUAUAGGUGACCAGGAGAUUCUCUCUACCACAUGCAAAUUCCUCCGUGCAGAUCAGAUGUGUAGCCAUGCAUGCUAUUUUGGCGGUUCACAACAUUGGCCAUACAGAUGUGGAAUGUGAGUGGAGAAAGCCAGCCGUGCCCAGCCAGGUGCAGACAGUUAGUGAAGGACCUGUACCCGGCUGAAGACUACAACCCUCUGUUCCGAGAGCCUACUGAUGAGGAUCUUCAGUGGCUAAGAAGCCAUCUCCGGGCCAGGUUCAGUGGAAUGGCAAGUCUCCUUGAACUUGAGCUCGAACAACCGCUACCCUCCUUGUUGUCCCUGUCUAUCUCGGACAUUGUGGAAAAACAAGGGCACCUGGGGCAUGCAGGCAUCCUGGCUGGCAUGGCGCUGUCGGUGGAGCAGCAGGAGGCUACACGGCAAGCAAGAGUUGGACAGCUCACCAACCCCAACUGGCACACCAUUUAGGAGAGGGAGGUUGAAGACCAUCCUCACUGGAACAAGGUCCAAGGUCAGCUCCACAUCACUGGAAGGGACACCUGCUUCUUCGUUGUGUAGACUCCAUCACCGUCCCCAUCCAGCGUGACAACCUCUGACAGACUCAUAUUGUUCCUUCUGUCAGUCCCUGUUUUCAGGGAAGCUAAUGUUCCAAAUAUAUUCCACGUAGUUCAUACACACACUAGGCUCCCAGAAUAAGUUAUAUUACAUACAAGUUUUGCUCAAAGCAGCCAACUAAAGUAACAUAGUAAACUUCAUGGGCACAGUGGGAAUUUAUAUCUAUGAAGUUCAAAUGAUUUCUUACUUCCUGUGUCUUACUUGCUGAAGGCCCCAGUCAUCUCUGCCUGUACCUGACAUUGUUGAAAAAUACAUUAACAAUUAAUAAAGAUUAUACACAAACAAUA